GCCCCGGUAGCUCAGUUGGUUCAUUACAGCGAUUCAGAGCGUUAGGCUUUUAACCUAAUGGCCGCGGGUUCGAGCCCCGCCCGGGGUG